CAGGAGUGAGUGAUGGAUGGCAGGUGUGAGUGAUGGAUGGCAGGAGUGAGUGAUGGAUGGCAGGUGUGAGUGAUGGAUGGCAGGAGUGAGUGAUGGAUGGCAGGAGUGAGUGAUGGAUGGCAGGAGUGAGUGAUGGAUGGCAGGUGUGAGUGAUGGAUGGCAGGAGUGAGUGAUGGAUGGCAGGUGUGAGUGAUGGAUGGCAGGAGUGAGUGAUGGAUGGCAGGUGUGAGUGAUGGAUGGCAGGAGUGAGUGAUGGAUGGCAGGAGUGAGUGAUGGAUAGCAGGUGUGAGUGAUGGAUGGCAGGAGUGAGUGAUGCAGGGUAAUCUGGCGCCCUCAAGCGCCAGACGGAGGGAAGAGCGGGAGCAGACGUGACAGGAACAGAAAGUGAGCGUGAGAGGGGCGUGACUUGGGGAACUCUGAGGUAAAAAACACACAUUUAGA